rnacentral:rRNA from 1 species
GUGCCUAACACAUGCAAGUCGAACGGAGUUCUUUAGGAAUGCGACUUCGGUCGAAUGACUUUUGAACUUAGUGGCGGACGGGUGAGUAACGCGUGAGCAACCUGCCUUUCAGAGGGGGAUAACAUUUGGAAACAGAUGCUAAUACCGCAUAAGAUUACAGUACCGCAUGAUACAGUGAUCAAAGGAGCAAUCCGCUGAAAGAUGGGCUCGCGUCCGAUUAGAUAGUUGGUGAGGUAACGGCUCACCAAGUCGACGAUCGGUAGCCGGACUGAGAGGUUGAACGGCCACAUUGGGACUGAGACACGGCCCAGACUCCUACGGGAGGCAGCAGUGGGGAAUAUUGCACAAUGGGCGAAAGCCUGAUGCAGCAACGCCGCGUGAGGGAAGACGGUUUUCGGAUUGUAAACCUCUGUUUUCGGUGACGAACAAAUGACGGUAACCGAGUAGGAAGCCACGGCUAACUACGUGCCAGCAGCCGCGGUAAUACGUAGGCGGCAAGCGUUAUCCGGAAUUACUGGGUGUAAAGGGAGCGCAGGCGGGAUAGCAAGUCAGCUGUGAAAACUAUGGGCUCAACCCAUAAACUGCAGUUGAAACUGUUAUUCUUGAGUGGAGUAGAGGCAAGCGGAAUUCCGAGUGUAGCGGUGAAAUGCGUAGAUAUUCGGAGGAACACCAGUGGCGAAGGCGGCUUGCUGGGCUCUAACUGACGCUGAGGCUCGAAAGUGUGGGGAGCAAACAGGAUUAGAUACCCUGGUAGUCCACACUGUAAACGAUGAUUGCUAGGUGUGGGGGGUCUGACCCCCUCCGUGCCGGAGUUAACGCAAUAAGCAAUCCACCUGGGGAGUACGGCCGCAAGGUUGAAACUCAAAUGAAUUGACGG